UACGGAGGGAGCUAGCGUUGUUCGGAAUUACUGGGCGUAAAGCGCGCGUAGGCGGCUUUGUAAGUUAGAGGUGAAAGCCCGGGGCUCAACCCCGGAAUUGCCUUUAAGACUGCAUCGCUUGAAUCCGGGAGAGGUGAGUGGAAUUCUUGGUGUAGCGGUGAGAUGCGUAGAUAUCAAGAGGAACACCUGCGGCGAAGGCGGGUUGCUGGGCCGACACUGACGCUGAGGCGCGAAAGCCAGGGGAGCGAACGGG
rnacentral:rRNA from 1 species